ACAAACAACGAAUCAGAAUAUUCCCGAGUACUUUAUCAUCUUUCAAUCGAAAAUCUUAGCUCAUCUUGCUAACUCGUCGGUUGGCUUGAUCCUGGAAUUGGAGGAGAUGAGGGUAAUGCUUGAGAGUCAAGGAUGUGGUGGUAGCAUAACGCCUUCGGAUACCAACACUCCAACAAACAUGGAUAAAGAGAAGGACAAUGAAGAU
rnacentral:lncRNA from 1 species